rnacentral:ncRNA from 1 species
UAAAUAAGUUUAUAUGUGAUGAAGUAGAGUGAAAUUCUCUCACUGUCGCGCAACGGUUAAAGUCCGAACUCACGUAUAAGCUAAAGACGUAGCUAGGCUCGCGGAAAGCUAAGCAGUUACUCAAAA